rnacentral:rRNA from 1 species
AACGAACGCUGGCGGCAUGCCUAACACAUGCAAGUCGAACGAGACCUUCGGGUUUAGUGGCGCACGGGUGCGUAACGCGUGGGAACUUGCCCUUAGGUUCGGAAUAACUCCCCGAAAGGGGUGCUAAUACCGGAUAAUGUCUUCGGACCAAAGAUUUAUCGCCUUUGGAUGGGCCCGCGUUGGAUUAGCUAGUUGGUAGGGUAAAAGCCUCCCAAGGCGACGAUCCAUAGCUGGUCUGAGAGGAUGCUCAGCCACACUGGGACUGAGACACGGCCCAGACUCCUACGCAAGGCAGCAGUAGAGAAUAUUAGACGCUGGGCGCAAGCCUGAUCCAGCCAUGCCGCGUGAGUGAUGAAGGCCUUAGGAUUGUAAAGCUCUUUUACCCGAGAUGAUAAUGACAGUACCGGGAGAAUAAGCUCCGGCUAACUCCGUG